CAUAAACAAAGACCUCCUAACUUUGUUUAAACCUCCUAAACUUUUUCAUAAUAAUCUCCCAUAAGAGUCGCCCAAUCGGCGGCUUUUUU
rnacentral:sRNA from 20 species